rnacentral:sRNA from 1 species
UCUUCUUCUUGUUCUUCUUCUUCCUCCUCUUCUUUU